UAAGGGCGCACGGUGGAUGCCUUGGCACUAGAAGCCGAUGAAGGACGUUACUAACGACGAUAUGCUUUGGGGAGCUGUAAGUAAGCUUUGAUCCAGAGAUUUCCGAAUGGGGAAACCCAGCAUGAGUUAUGUCAUGUUAUCGAUAUGUGAAUACAUAGCAUAUCAGAAGGCACACCCGGAGAACUGAAACAUCUUAGUACCCGGAGGAAGAGAAAGAAAAUUCGAUUCCCUUAGUAGCGGCGAGCGAAACGGGAAGAGCCCAAACCAACAAGCUUGCUUGUUGGGGUUGUAGGACACUCUAUACGGAGUUACAAAGGACGACAUUAGACGAAUCAUCUGGAAAGAUGAAUCAAAGAAGGUAAUAAUCCUGUAGUCGAAAAUGUUGUCUCUCUUGAGUGGAUCCUGAGUACGACGGAGCACGUGAAAUUCCGUCGGAAUCUGGGAGGACCAUCUCCUAAGGCUAAAUACUCUCUAGUGACCGAUAGUGAACCAGUACCGUGAGGGAAAGGUGAAAAGCACCCCGGAAGGGGAGUGAAAUAGAACCUGAAACCGUGUGCUUACAAGUAGUCAGAGCCCGUUAAUGGGUGAUGGCGUGCCUUUUGUAGAAUGAACCGGCGAGUUACGAUUUGAUGCAAGGUUAAGCAGUAAAUGUGGAGCCGUAGCGAAAGCGAGUCUGAAUAGGGCGUUUAGUAUUUGGUCGUA
rnacentral:rRNA from 1 species